UCAAGCCUUCAGACGACUGCAGCUUGGUAACAUCUUGAUGGCAAGCUCAUGAGAUCCUGAGCCGGAAGCACUGGCUAAAUUGUUCCUGACUAGACUAGAAUCUGUGAGAGGCAGCUCUCCAAAACCAUCCCGACAAGCCACUGCCUCACCCCUCAUCUCGUAAAACCUUCAGAAGGGAACGCACAUGAAAGGCAGAGCAGAUUCUAUCUCUUUCCAGAUUUGCCCUUCGGUCUACUUUCGGGGCUCUGAGAACACAUGAAUUAACAUGAACCAGGGAAAGCAUUCAAAAGUAGGCCUCUCCAAUGAUGAGCCAAGCCAGUUACCUUACAGCUUGCAUAUUUAUUGAACAAAGACUACUAAAAUAGCUAAAAUACACUGGGUACUUGUGAGUGCAUCAGUAAAGAUCACAUUGUUACAAAAGCCUGCAUUUUCAGCAGCGCACAACUGCAACUCUACAUAAAUGCCACAGAUGCAGAAUACUGUUUUCUUGCUCUAUUUACACAGCUGAUAUACCUAUUCUAACAAAGGAGGGAGGAGGAAAAUGCACAAGAAACUCAGGCCAGUGGGGGAGCAAGAAGAGAAAGAAGAAGUUACAUGCAUCAUCUGUGUUAACAGUCAGAAGCAUGACAGGGCGGGACAGAGCCUGCCUUGUCAAAGGAAGAGCUACAAGACAGUUAUAUAAAAAUUAAGGUGGGCUUUCAGACUGGCUAACACAACAACAAUCCAUGAGAAGAUGGUAUUGUCUGAUUUUAUUUUUGUUUAUCCAUUUCAUUGGGAGCAAGGACAAAAAUGUAAAAUCUACACCUUGCUUCUCAAAACUGCCGGAAAAGAGUGCUCUGCCUUU